AAAUAUUAUUAAAGAAAAUAUUUAAUGCAUAUUUAAAUUUCUUACCAUAAUAUGACAUAUAUUGUUGAUAAAGUAUCACUAUCAACUGAACUAUACUCAGAAUCGUUUUUUCGUUAGCAAUGUCUUAUAGUUGCUUACAGAUGUAUAUUAAAUUACCUAUAACAGUGGCUGCACCCCUCUCCAUUAUCCUAGAACAUGUUUUUUUAUUUAAAACUAUAUUUCGGAUAAUACGUUUGUUGCGCAACUAUUAUUUUGUCUAAAACUAUAUUUAGAUUAAUAUCUUAGUUAACCUAAAUUUAAAACAAUGUAUAGUUAAAAAAAAAAAACUAAUUAAUUAG